rnacentral:rRNA from 1 species
GAUAGAAUUUGAUCAUGGCUCAGGACGAACGCUGGCGGCGUGCUUAACACAUGCAAGUCGAACGGAGAUUCAGCAAUGGAUCUUAGUGGCGAACGGGUGAGUAACGCGUAGGCAAUCUGCCUUCUAGAUGGGGACAACAUCCCGAAAGGGGUGCUAAUACCGAAUGUUGUAGUUGGUCUGCAUGGACUAGCUACUAAAGGUGGCCUCUGAAUAUGCUACCGCUAGAAGAUGAGCCUGCGUCUGAUUAGCUAGUUGGAGGGGUAACGGCCCACCAAGGCUUCGAUCAGUAGCCGGUCUGAGAGGAUGAACGGCCACACUGGGACUGAGACACGGCCCAGACUCCUACGGGAGGCAGCAGUGGGGAAUCUUCCGCAAUGGACGAAAGUCUGACGGAGCAACGCCGCGUGAGUGAAGAAGGUUUUCGGAUCGUAAAGCUCUUUCGUCAGGGACGAACGUAUUUUUUGUAAAUAAUGAGAGAUAGUGACGGUACCUGAAUAAGAAGCCACGGCUAACUACGUGCCAGCAGCCGCGGUAAUACGUAGGUGGCAAGCGUUGUCCGGAAUUAUUGGGCGUAAAGCGCGCGCAGGCGGGAUAUCAAGUCUGUCUUAAAAGUGCGAGGCUCAACCUCGUGAGGGGACAGAAACUGGUAUUCUUGAGUGUCGGAGAGGAAAGUGGAAUUCCAAGUGUAGCGGUGAAAUGCGUAGAGAUUUGGAAGAACACCAGUGGCGAAGGCGACUUUCUGGACGAUGUCUGACGCUGAGGCGCGAAAGCUAGGGGAGCGAACGGGAUUAGAUACCCCGGUAGUCCUAGCCGUAAACGAUGGGUACUAGGUGUAGGGGGUAUCGACCCCUCCUGUGCCGGAGUUAACGCAAUAAGUACCCCGCCUGGGG